rnacentral:rRNA from 1 species
CCUACGGGUGGCAGCAGUGAGGAAUAUUGGUCAAUGGACGAGAGUCUGAACCAGCCAAGUAGCGUGAAGGAUGACUGCCCUAUGGGUUGUAAACUUCUUUUAUAUGGGAAUAAAAUGUUCCACGUGUGGGAUUUUGUUUGUACCAUAUGAAUAAGGAUCGGCUAAUUCCGUGCCAGCAGCCGCGGUAAUACGGAGGAUCCGAGCGUUAUCCGGAUUUAUUGGGUUUAAAGGGAGCGUAGGUGGAUUGUUAAGUCAGUUGUGAAAGUUUGCGGCUCAACCGUAAAAUUGCAGUUGAAACUGGCAGUCUUGAGUACAGUAGAGGUGGGCGGAAUUCGUGGUGUAGCGGUGAAAUGCUUAGAUAUCACGAAGAACUCCGAUUGCGAAGGCAGUUCACUGGACUGCAACUGACACUGAGGCUCGAAAGUGUGGGUAUCAAACAGGAUUAGAUACCCCAGUAGUC